CAAUCUCUAAAUUUCAACAUUGUAAAAGAAACCAAACAAAUUAUUCAAAAUCUCACAGACUUCGUGGUAGCCGUGAAUUACACAAUGAACGAUUGUCAAACUUCAGAAAUACUCUCGACUUUUUUAAGACGUGCUGCGAAUUUGAUACCUGGUAUUAGCAACCCCAAAAUAUAUCACCAUGAGAGAGCUUAUAUUUUCAAUCAAUCGAUUCGUUAUCAAUGGAAUAUUACGGAGCAACAACUGUGUGACGUCCUCCGUGAAAUACAAACAGUAAAAAGCUUAACGAACACCCAAAACUCUGGAACGGAAGGCACACAAGCUACAGAUGACGUCAUAUCUAAUAUCCAAAACAGU